UACGUAGGGACCGAGCGUUGUCCGGAAUCAUUGGGCGUAAAGAGCGUGUAGGCGGCCUUUUAAGUCCUGCGUGAAAUCCUGCGGCUCAACCGCAGACGGUCGUGGGAAACUGGAAGGCUAGAGUGCGGGAGAGGCGAGUGGAAUUCCCGGUGUAGCGGUGAAAUGCGUAGAUAUCGAGAGGAACACCUGCGGCGAAGGCGGGUUGCUGGGCUGACACUGACGCUGAUGCGCGAAAGCUAGGGGAGCGAACGGG
rnacentral:rRNA from 1 species